rnacentral:rRNA from 1 species
AUACGGAGGAUCCGAGCGUUAUCCGGAUUUAUUGGGUUUAAAGGGAGCGUAGAUGGAUGUUUAAGUCAGUUGUGAAAGUUUGCGGCUCAACCGUAAAAUUGCAGUUGAUACUGGAUAUCUUGAGUGCAGUUGAGGCAGGCGGAAUUCGUGGGGUAGCGGGGAAAUGCUUAGAUAUCACGAAGAACUCCGAUUGCGAAGGCAGCCUGCUAAGCUGCAACUGACAUUGAGGCUCGAAAGUGUGGGUAUCAAACAGGAUUAGAUACCCUGGUAGUCCACACGGUAAACGAUGAAUACUCGCUGUUUGCGAUAUACUGCAAGCGGCCAAGCGAAAGCGUUAAGUAUUCCACCUGGGGAGUACGCCGGCAACGGUGAAACUCAAAUGAAUUGACGGGG